CCUACGGGUGGCAGCAGUGGGGAAUAUUGCACAAUGGGGGAAACCCUGAUGCAGCGACGCCGCGUGAGCGAUGAAGUAUUUCGGUAUGUAAAGCUCUAUCAGCAGGGAAGAAAAUGACGGUACCUGACUAAGAAGCCCCGGCAAACUCUGUGCCAGCAGCCGCGGUAAUACGUAGGGGGAAAGCGUUAUCCGGAUUUACUGGGGGUAAGGGGAGCGUAGACGGCGGUGCAAGCCAGAUGUGAAAGCCCGGGGCUCAACCCCGGGACUGCAUUUGGAACUGUGCUGCUAGAGUGUCGGAGGGGCAGGCGGAAUUCCUAGUGUAGCGGUGAAAUGCGUAGAUAUUAGGAGGAACACCAGGGGCGAAGGCGGCCUGCUGGACGAUGACUGACGUUGAGGCUCGAAAGCGUGGGAGCAAACAGGAUUAGAUACCCCAGUAGUC
rnacentral:rRNA from 1 species